AUGAUCCAGACAUCGCAUAAAAGGAAGUUACUCGUGGUUGCGCUCAAGCUAGAUUUUCAGAAAGCUUUUGACUCCGUCAGUUGGCCUUGCCUUAUCAGCAUUUUGUCUGCCAGAGGCUUCCCUCAGUGCUGGAUCAAUUGGGUACAAUGCUUGCUAUCCACGGCUACCUCUCGCAUCCUGCUGAAUGGGGAACUGGGU
rnacentral:rRNA from 1 species